AAUUAAAGUGCUAAAGUAAAUUUUGCCUCCAAGUUCGGGAGGAUUUUACGUAUUCUCUUUUUAAUGUCACCAAAACAUUAAAUCAAGUGAGAAGAAAAUGAGACUUCAUCCCUUAUUAUGUGGUAAUAACAUCUUCCUCUUACACAUACAUUAUAUACCUUCACAUGAUAAAAAGAGAAACAACUCAGUGAAACUACUCACUGUGCCUUCGUUAUUUUUCAUUCACUUCUCUCUUAAGCUAUUUCCACAGCUUCAAUGUUCCAAAUGUCUUUGGCAUAUUCAUGGAUUGUUCUGUCACUGCUGAACUUGUACGAUCCAGCUGUAUUCAAGAUUGACAUCUUUGUCCACCUUUUCUGGUCACGAUAUGCCUCAUCAACUUUCUCUUGGCAU
rnacentral:misc_RNA from 1 species